UUGCACUGUUCGUAACCUGUUGACAGCAACUUCUGAAAAUGGGUUCCAUUCCAGUGCUAGAGUAACACCCAAGAUGAGUAAAGGCUGGCUAUUUCUGCCUAUGUCUUUUCUAUUUUGGGUGACAUUA